UGAUGCUUUUCCCAUAUACACGCCUAAUGGAACAUGCUAUGCAUAGCUAAUAUUUCUUCUUUAGAAGUUCACAUUUGCUAGAACAUUUCCCAAAUUAGUUUAUCAAUAGAUCUAAUUAAAAGCUUGUGAAACUAAUUAGAAUGCCAGUCAAUCUCAUCUCUUUACAGGGUUCUCAUCAUUGAUGGAUACUUUGCUACUCCACAUGUUAUCUUUGUAGAUAUUGAUUGAUCUCUAACUGGUUUUGGGCCUUCUUUCCAACAUGCAGAUAUUGAACCUUGUUGAUGUUCAGUGUCAUAUAUGAGAUGAUUUCAACAAGAACAAUCCUCAAUGACUUGAAGAAAGAUUCUAAUAGACCUUCAAUGAAUGCUUCUACAGAAGCAAUUUGUGAGAAUUUUAGUAUACCAGUAGAAUGGGAUCUUUUUAUUAAAAUUUUCACCAACUGGAGAAAAAAUGUCUCAAAUUAUUUGGCUAAAUGGUAAGUGAUCAUCCUUAUGUUAAUCACAGUGAAUUUAUCUGUGUUUUAUUCUUUCAGAUGCUAUUGCUAAAUUAAGUUCUGUUUGACAAAAUGUUGUAGCCAUUAGUUAGUUGAGUCUCAGAAUCAUGGACUAUGCGACUUUGCGAGUGCCUACUUACUUUCUCCGUCAAAACUUUCUUCUUGUGAAUUGGCAGGAUGGACCUCCACCAUUUUCUUUGAAAGCAUUCCUCAACAGUAAAAUGAUGAUGGUGUUUGAACUUACUGCUAACAGGCAGUUCCAGGUUGUUCCAUUCUCCCGGUCUCCUUGGGCUAUAUACAUGGUUUGUGGUGUAAGCUUCUGUCAUGGGAGAAUAGUUCUCGAAGGCCUGCAAUGUGUAAAGGCUAGAUGGCUAGGCCAUGUCUGUGUUCAUUUCUUCUUGUCAUUUGGUUAGACUUCUACAUAUGUCUGUUUGAUAACAGAUUUUUGCCCAGGUGGGGAGCUAUUUGCUUUGCUUGACAAACAGCCUAUGAAGAUUUUCAAAGAGGAAGCUGCAAGUUGAUAAUUGGAUACUUCAAGGUUGUUCUUGCAUAUCUUUUGUAGCCAUGGUCACAAAAAUACCGUGCUCUAUGUCAAGUGGAAUCAAAAUGGUGACUGGGUGCUAACUGCCUCCAAGGAUCAAAUCAUUAAGGUUCUGGACCGUGGUGAGAAGAUUGAGCUUUUGGUAGACAAAACAGAGAACCUUCGCUCACAGGUGGUGAACCUCAAUAUCAUUGAGGGCCUGAACCUACUGAAGGACUCUGAAAUACUGGUGCUGAUGCCUUCUACUGCUACAUAGCUCACCAAAGAUCGACAAAAGAAACCAGUCCCUUGGAAACAAUGGCAAUCAUCGGCAACAAGGAGAUCAUUGACAUUAACCAAG